GUGGGGAAUCUUGCGCAAUGGGGGAAACCCUGACGCAGCAACGCCGCGUGGGUGAUGAAGGCCUUCGGGUCGUAAAGCCCUGUCAGGUGGGAAGAAACCCAUCGGUGCAAACAGCACCGGUGAUUGACGGUACCACCGGAGGAAGCACCGGCUAACUCCGUGCCAGCAGCCGCGGUAAUACGGAGGGUGCAAGCGUUGUUCGGAAUUACUGGGCGUAAAGCGCGUGUAGGCGGUCGGGUAAGUCAGAUGUGAAAGCCCCCGGCUUAACUGGGGAACUGCAUUUGAAACUGCCUGGCUGGAGUUCGGGAGAGGAGAGUGGAAUUCCUGGUGUAGAGGUGAAAUUCGUAGAUAUCAGGAGGAACACCGGUGGCGAAGGCGGCUCUCUGGCCCGACACUGACGCUGAGACGCGAAAGCGUGGGGAGCAAACAGGAUUAGAUACCCCAGUAGUCC
rnacentral:rRNA from 1 species